rnacentral:rRNA from 1 species
CCCUUAGAUGUUCUGGGCUGCACGCGCGCUACACUGAAGCGUUCAACGAGUAUUCACCUUGCCCGGGAGGGUUGGGUAAUCUUUUGAAAACGCUUCGUGAUGGGGAUAGAUUAUUGCAAUUAUUAAUCUUCAACGAGGAAUUCCUAGUAAGCGCGAGUCAUCAGCUUGCGUUGAUUACGUCCCUGCCCUUUGUACACACCGCCCGUCGCUCCUACCGAUUGAAUGGUCCGGUGAAGCGUUCGGACCGUGGCCUUUGGACGGUUCGCCGUCUGUUGGCUGCGGGAAGUUCGUUAAACCUUAUCAUUUAGAGGAAGGAGAAGUCGUANCA